AUUGAACGCUGGCGGCAGGCCUAACACAUGCAAGUCGAACGAGUGGCGGACGUGUGAGUAAUGUCUGGGACACUGCCUGAUGGAGGGGGAUAACUAUUGGAAACGGUAGCUAAUACCGCAUACCAUCGGAUGUGCCCAGAUGGGAUUAGCUAGUAGGUGGGGUAAAGGCUCACCUAGGCGACGAUCCCUAACUGGUCUGGGAGGAUGACCAGCCAAAUUGGAACUGAGACACGAUCCAGACUACUACGGGAGGCAGCAGUGGGGAAUAUUGAACAAUGGGCGAAAGCCUGAUGCAGCCAGGCCGCGUGUAUGAAGAAGGCCUUCGGGUUGUAAAGUACUUUCAGCGGGGAGGCGUUAACCGCAGAAGAAGCACCGGCUAACUCCGUGACAGCAGCCGCGGUAAUUC
rnacentral:rRNA from 1 species